rfam:Ailuropoda melanoleuca scaffold783_10, whole genome shotgun sequence.
GGCCUCACAUGAUGGAGAAAUGACUUUGGGAGGACAGUGACCAAAUUGGGUCGUAUUCGUACUGUCUGAUGGGGUC